rnacentral:rRNA from 1 species
AUUGAACGCUGGCGGCAGGCCUAACACAUGCAAGUCGAACGGCAGCACGGGAGCAAUCCUGGUGGCAAGUGGCGAACGGGUGAGUAAUAUAUCGGAACGUGCCCAGUCGUGGGGGAUAACGUAGCGAAAGCUACGCUAAUACCGCAUACGAUCUAUGGAUGAAAGCGGGGGAUCGCAAGACCUCGCGCGAUUGGAGCGGCCGAUAUCAGAUUAGGUAGUUGGUGGGGUAAAGGCUCACCAAGCCGACGAUCUGUAGCUGGUCUGAGAGGACGACCAGCCACACUGGGACUGGGACACGGCCCAGACUCCUACGGGAGGCAGCAGUGGGGAAUUUUGGACAAUGGGCGCAAGCCUGAUCCAGCAAUGCCGCGUGCAGGAUGAAGGCCUUCGGGUUGUAAACUGCUCUUGUACGGAGCGAAAAGGCUUCCACUAAUACUGGGGGCUCAUGACGGUACCGUAAGAAUAAGCACCGGCUAACUACGUGCCAGCAGCCGCAGUAACAC